CGUACACUCCUGCGGGAGGCAGCAGUGGGGAAUAUUAGACAAUGGGCGCAAGCCUGAUCCAGCCAUGCCGCGUGAGUGAUGAAGGCCCUAGGGUUGUAAAGCUCUUUCACCGGUGAAGAUAAUGACGGUAACCGGAGAAGAAGCCCCGGCUAACUUCGUGCCAGCAGCCGCGGUAAUACGAAGGGGGCUAGCGUUGUUCGGAUUUACUGGGCGUAAAGCGCACGUAGGCGGACUAUUAAGUCAGGGGUGAAAUCCCGGGGCUCAACCCCGGAACUGCCUUUGAUACUGGUAGUCUUGAGUUCGAGAGAGGUGAGUGGAAUUCCGAGUGUAGAGGUGAAAUUCGUAGAUAUUCGGAGGAACACCAGUGGCGAAGGCGGCUCACUGGCUCGAUACUGACGCUGAGGUGCGAAAGCGUGGGGAGCAAACAGGAUUAGAAACCCGAGUAGUCCCAUGA
rnacentral:rRNA from 1 species